rnacentral:rRNA from 1 species
AUUGAACGCUGGCGGCAGGCCUAACACAUGCAAGUCGAACGAGAGGCGCACGGGGGUGAAAUGUCUGGGAAACUCUCCGCUGGAGGGGGGUAACACCUGUAAACGGUAGCUAAUACACCGCACCAUCACAUGUGCGCAGAUGGGAUUAGCUAGUAGGUGGGGUAACGGCUCACCUAGGCGACGAUCCCUAGCUGGUCUGAGAGGAUGACCAGCCACACUGGAACUGAGACACGGUCCAGACUCCUACGGGAGGCAGCAGUGGGGAAUAUUGCACAAUGGGCGCAAGCCUGAUGCAGCCAUGCCGCGUGUAUGAAGAAGGCCUUCGGGUUGUAAAGUACUUUCAGCGGGGAGGCGUUACCCGCAGAAGAAGCACCGGCUAACUCCGUGCCAGCAGCCGCGGUAAUUC